UCCGCUGAUGUCAGAAGAGGAGCCUGACAAUAACCCAUCACGUCCCCGUGUAAGUGAUAUUGAGGCAUUCCUAGAGAAAUGAAAAAUAGAAAUGUUUAUUUCAUAUCAAAUAUUUGUUUGUCCAUAUUCAUUAUUGAUGCUUUCUAAAUGAAUAUUUCACCCGAUAGAACAUACUCAGACAUCAGCUGACAGAAAGUCUUCUUGACAAACUGCAAGCGGCUUUGAGUCAACAACCAAUCAACUUGGAUAAUAUGGACUUUCUACACGCCAUGAGCUUAUUCUAUUUAGGUCAUUUUACGACCAGAGGCCGACAGAGGCACUGCAAAACCUACAUGAACUUGUCCAAUGUGACCUUACUGCCAACUUGAUACCGGUUGUGAAACUGGAAAUGGAAACAUGAAAUCAUUAUUGAGAAAGAAAAACCUGAAUAUUUGCGAGACACACACCUCCCAGUCCCUUGCAUUGCUAAAUGUCUGGGUGUGACAGAAAGAACCACUUACAGGAGAAUGCAAGAAUUUGGGUUAUCUGCAAGAGGAACAUACAGCACAAUGAGUGACCGAGAACUACACAAUGUUAUUUCUCGAAUAAAGCAACAGAUGCCAAAUGCAGGGUAUUGAAUGGUUAGGGGCCUUUUAGUGUCAAUGGGCAUCCGCAAUCCAGUGGAGUAGACUGAUGGCUUCUUUGCAUCGAGUUGAUGCUGCGGGGAUCCUCACAAGGCUGACAAAACUAGGAUGUGUCAAAGAUGUUAUUCAGUCAGAGGCCCUCUCACCUUUGUCCAUGUCGAUCCAAACCACAAACUAAUCAAGUAGGUGGCUUUUCAGAGUUAUUAUGAAUGCCCCUGUUGAUUGUAAAGAUAAUUGUUGUAGUUUUACGCUGUGCUUAUUGUGCUUUCUUUUCCUUUGAUAGAUGCAACAUUGUGAUAUUCGGUGGCGUGGCUGGUUACUCAAGGAAGAUUUUGUAUCUGGAUGCUGACACAAGCAACAAAGCAUCAACUGCAUUCUCACUCUUCUUGAGGGUAUCCCAGAUUCACGGUGUGAACUAGGGUUAGAGGUGAUCAAGGAGUUGAGAAUGUGGAUGUGUGGAUUCAUGUUUGCCACUCGAGGAACAGGAAGGGCAAGCUUCAUCUCCAGGAAAGUGUCCACAAUCAGAGGUUGUUCUUCUUGUGGCUGCUUUCCACAAAGUCUUGAUGUAAUGCAAAUUUCUUUACAGAAUAAAGUGCCUUUGGCGUGACGUCUGGGCUGCAGUCACCAGCAAAUAUUAUGACGUUCUUCAUACUUUGGAGGAAGAUGGUUUCUUGAUGGAUGGAAUAACCAUCCUCUUCGAACAGAAGAGGGUUUCACUCCAGAACAGCUUUGGAACUCCAAGAUCCAGGCAUCAACUGGGAGUGUGCUGUACAGCAACUUGACACUCGUGAGGCACUUGUGGUUCCAGAAUACGAAUGCCCACUGAACAAUGAAGUUCUGGGAGAACUUCAAAGAAGGAUCAAUCCCCUUACAGAGUCUCAAACAUUUGGUCGAGACUUGUAUUUCCAGUUUUUAGAAGCUAUGCGAAACAGUGAAAGUCAUAACAUACCAUAAAGUAAUUUGGAAAAUAAGGCAUUUUAGGCAAUAUUAUGAACAAUGGAUCAAUUCUGCAUUGAGAAGAACUUUAAUUUAGGGGAGCGGCAUGUGACUGAAAUCAAAACAUUAUCAAAAUGUAUCAAAACAUUAACUACAUUUUCAUUUUUCCCCAUUAAUAAAUUGAAGCUGGCAGUGAGGGGAGCAAUUUUAGCUCUUCCUAGACGAUUAUGAGCUUAGUUAAUUUCAAAAUGUUUUACCGGAUUAUGUCAUCUUUGUUUUCCAAAGUGAUUUGCCUUGUGAAGCCACAGCUAAUAAUUUCAUCUCCACACAACAGCAGUGAUUGUGUAUCUUCACUGCUCUCCACCUUGUAAUUGAAUAUGAAAAUUAGACAAAGGCGCAUUGAACCUCAUAAAAUGGAUGAAAGACUGCCUUCUUGAGUUAAAGGUGGGACUCUGAAUCCGUCACAUCCUCCUUGCACAGUGAACUAUAAUUCACUUCACCACUGCAGAUGAACUGACAGCACCACUCUUUCAGGAAAGCAGGUGGUGGGCCACCUUGUGCAAUGCUAACAGCCACAACAAUUCUGUUUUUAGAAGCUAUGCGAAACAGUGAAAGUCAUAACAUACCAUAAAGUAAUUUGGAAAAUAAGGCAUUUUAGGCAAUAUUAUGAACAAUGGAUCAUGAGGAUGAAAGUGUUAUACACUGAAUAAGUACAGAACAAACAUAUAACUGAAAUAAUAAUAAUAAUAAUAAUAAGUAAUAAAUAACCUGAAAUUGUCGUACUUGGGAUUUUUUUCCAGGACUAUCAGAACCUUCGAAGAACCUUUCCUCUAUCCCAUGAGUCAUUUCUAGAAAUAGAGAAAAGUAAAUUUUCUCAUUAAAGAUGCUACCAUUACUUACUUUUAGUAUUCUUUAAAAUGUGAUUCAUAUUCCGAGACUAUAACAUAGUACAACACAUUUUAUGAAGCGUAACUUUCCAAUUACUGACCAUUACUAAUCACAUCUGUUAGAAACUCCUUCCUCAGAGCACCAGUGUCUACACCCGCUUCUCCUAUAAAAAUAAUCUUUAGAGCACUGGCACUAGAAUAUAAGGCAUGCACUUCAAUUCCAUAGGUAUAUUAACGUGGAUAAUAAUACAAUCACAAUUUACAAGUGCAUGCAUGUCCUGUUAAUCUGUAAUCGAAUGUACCCUUUUGAUUUAAUUGGUGGAUCAUCCCCAUCUCCAUCCUCCUCUAUUGGUGAACAAUGCUCUAUGUCAUCUAGACACAUGAAAUACAUUGAUUAACUGAUCAGUAAGACAACUAGUUGGUGAAAAUGAAUUACUACCUUUCUCCACAAAGGCCAGCACGGACAGAAAUGUCAUCACCUGGAAAUGCUUUGCAGCAAAUAGGGCAAGUAACCAGUACCUUAAAGAAAGACAGGGUGUCUAUGAAGAAUUUUAAAGUUGCGUUGUGUCACUGAUCAGCAGUGAUCUGAUUUGCUCAGUUGACUUGCAAUACAGAUGUUGUUAUAAGUCAACUGACAGUGAUCAGAAAACUAUUUGGUCUCACCUCAUCAAUUAUCACUGACUGUUCUCCCUCACAUUUCUUCACAUGCAUCGCAAGAACAUGUAGAGGCAUGACUUGAUUGCUCUGGUUUGCAUUUGUUUUUUGGCUUCUUUGCAAAGUGGUGAGAGUCCAGAGGUAGAGGAGUGGUGUCCAAGGUCUCUUGGAUUGGCACAAUAUAAAAAAUAGCUUUACCACCUCCUGACAUAGCUCGCAAAGCUUUCACGCUGUAACCCUCUGCUUCAGGAGGGAUGACCGUGAGUUUUUGUCGGCCACUGCCACCUGCAUAAUAUGGUGAGUCAACCAACGUUCAUUAAGGACAAAUAUAACAACAGAAACAAUUCACCACCUGUUGCUUUAUGUAGCAGCCAUCCACUAAGAAGCUGUUCCAUUUUUGGGAAAGCCUCACUC